rnacentral:rRNA from 1 species
UCUACGGGAGGCAGCAGUGGGGAAUAUUGCACAAUGGGGGAAACCCUGAUGCAGCAACGCCGCGUGAGUGAUGAAGGCCUUAGGGUUGUAAAGCUCUUUCACCGGUGAAGAUAAUGACGGUAACCGGAGAAGAAGCCCCGGCUAACUACGUGCCAGCAGCCGCGGUAAUA